CCGUACUUUUGCAGACUGCACUCAGGUGUGACGUCGACAGUUCUACGCUGGGAUCUUCAAGUAUCCAACAAGAAAGAUCACGGAGCGCCUAUCUGCAGUGAAUCUUCGCCGUAUCAGCCGCUGCUGGCGCUGUCAUCUACCAGGAGUCUAUGAGACUGAUCCCCGA
rnacentral:lncRNA from 1 species